GUCUUAUUGAUAAAUAAUUUUAAGUCUUGCCUGCCCCCUGUUUAAGAUUAAUGGCCGCAGUAUUUUGACUGUGCUAAGGUAGCAUAAUCAUUAGUUUUUUAAUUGAAAGCUGGAAUGAAUGGUGUUAUGAGAAAGUAACUGUCUCUUUUAUAAAAUUAAAAUUUUAUCUUUAAGUAAAAAAGCUUAAAUAAAGUUAAAAGACGAGAAGACCCUAUAGAAUUUUAUAUAAUCUAGGUUUUAAUUUAUUAGAAAUUAAAAUUUAUUAAUUAGUUUAUAUUUGAUUGGGGUGAUUAGAAAAUUUAAUAAUCUUUUCUUUAUAGUACCAUUGAUAUAUGAUUAUAUGAUUCAUUAAUAAUGAUUUAAGAAUAAAUUACCUUAGGGAUAACAGCGUAAUUUUUUUUUAUAGUUCAAAUAAAAAGAAAAGAUUGCGACCUCGAUGUUGGAUUAAAAU
rnacentral:rRNA from 1 species